UACAGAGGGUGCAAGCGUUGUUCGGAAUUAUUGGGCGUAAAGGGCGUGUAGGCGGUCUGCUAAGUCAUGUGUGAAAUCCCUCGGCUUAACCGAGGAACGACGCAUGAAACUGGCAAGCUAGAGUACCAAAGAGGGGGGUGGAAUUCCCGGUGUGGCGGUGAAAUGCGUAGAUAUCUGGAGGAACACCGGUGGCGAAGGCGGCAUCCUGGACCGGUAUUGACGCUGAGGCGCGAAAGCCAGGGGAGCAAACGGG
rnacentral:rRNA from 1 species